ncrna:Tupaia chinensis (Chinese tree shrew) microRNA tch-mir-27a precursor
AGGGCUUAGCUGCUUGUGAGCAGGGUCCACACCGAGUCGUGUUCACAGUGGCUAAGUUCCGU